GAGUUUGAUCAUGGCUCAGAUUGAACGCUGGCGGCAGGCCUAACACAUGCAAGUCGAACGGUAACAGGAAACAGCUUGCUGUUUCGCUGACGAGUGGCGGACGGGUGAGUAAUGUCUGGGAAACUGCCUGAUGGAGGGGGAUAACUACUGGAAACGGUAGCUAAUACCGCAUAACGUCGCAAGACCAAAGAGGGGGACCUUCGGGCCUCUUGCCAUCAGAUGUGCCCAGAUGGGAUUAGCUAGUAGGUGGGGUAACGGCUCACCUAGGCGACGAUCCCUAGCUGGUCUGAGAGGAUGACCAGCCACACUGGAACUGAGACACGGUCCAGACUCCUACGGGAGGCAGCAGUGGGGAAUAUUGCACAAUGGGCGCAAGCCUGAUGCAGCCAUGCCGCGUGUAUGAAGAAGGCCUUCGGGUUGUAAAGUACUUUCAGCGGGGAGGAAGGGAGUAAAGUUAAUACCUUUGCUCAUUGACGUUACCCGCAGAAGAAGCACCGGCUAACUCCGUGCCAGCAGCCGCGGUAAUACGGAGGGUGCAAGCGUUAAUCGGAAUUACUGGGCGUAAAGCGCACGCAGGCGGUUUGUUAAGUCAGUGUGAAAUCCCCGGGCUCAACCUGGGAACUGCAUCUGAUACUGGCAAGCUUGAGUCUCGUAGAGGGGGGUAGAAUUCCAGGUGUAGCGGUGAAAUGCGUAGAGAUCUGGAGGAAUACCGGUGGCGAAGGCGGCCCCCUGGACGAAGACUGACGCUCAGGUGCGAAAGCGUGGGGAGCAAACAGGAUUAGAUACCCUGGUAGUCCACGCCGUAAACGAUGUCGACUUGGAGGUUGUGCCCUUGAGGCGUGGCUUCCGGAGCUAACGCGUUAAGUCGACCGCCUGGGGAGUACGGCCGCAAGGUUAAAACUCAAAUGAAUUGACGGGGGCCCGCACAAGCGGUGGAGCAUGUGGUUUAAUUCGAUGCAACGCGAAGAACCUUACCUGGUCUUGACAUCCACGGAAGUUUUCAGAGAUGAGAAUGUGCCUUCGGGAACCGUGAGACAGGUGCUGCAUGGCUGUCGUCAGCUCGUGUUGUGAAAUGUUGGGUUAAGUCCCGCAACGAGCGCAACCCUUAUCCUUUGUUGCCAGCGGUCCGGCCGGGAACUCAAAGGAGACUGCCAGUGAUAAACUGGAGGAAGGUGGGGAUGACGUCAAGUCAUCAUGGCCCUUACGACCAGGGCUACACACGUGCUACAAUGGCGCAUACAAAGAGAAGCGACCUCGCGAGAGCAAGCGGACCUCAUAAAGUGCGUCGUAGUCCGGAUUGGAGUCUGCAACUCGACUCCAUGAAGUCGGAAUCGCUAGUAAUCGUGGAUCAGAAUGCCACGGUGAAUACGUUCCCGGGCCUUGUACACACCGCCCGUCACACCAUGGGAGUGGGUUGCAAAAGAAGUAGGUAGCUUAACCUUCGGGAGGGCGCUUACCACUUUGUGAUUCAUGACUGGGGUGAAGUCGUAACAAGGUAACCGUAGGGGAACCUGCGGUUG
rnacentral:rRNA from 1 species